rnacentral:rRNA from 1 species
UACGGGGGGGGCAAGCGUUGUUCGGAAUUACUGGGCGUAAAGGGCUCGUAGGCGGCCAACUAAGUCAGACGUGAAAUCCCUCGGCUUAACCGGGGAACUGCGUCUGAUACUGGAUGGCUUGAGUUCGGGAGAGGGAUGCGGAAUUCCGGGUGUAGCGGUGAAAUGCGUAGAUAUCCGGAGGAACACCGGUGGCGAAGGCGGCUCACUGGACCGGUACUGACGCUGAUGCGCGAAAGCGUGGGGAGCAAACGGG